UACGAAGGGGGCUAGCGUUGUUCGGAUUUACUGGGCGUAAAGCGCACGUAGGCGGAUCGUUAAGUCGGGGGUGAAAUCCUGGAGCUCAACUCCAGAACUGCCUUCGAUACUGGCGAUCUAGAGUCCGGAAGAGGUGAGUGGAACUCCUAGUGUAGAGGUGGAAUUCGUAGAUAUUCGGAGGAACACCAGUGGCGAAGGCGGCUCACUGGUCCGGUACUGACGCUGAGGUGCGAAAGCGUGGGGAGCAAACAGG
rnacentral:rRNA from 1 species